UACGUAGGGGGCUAGCGUUGUCCGGAAUCAUUGGGCGUAAAGCGCGCGUAGGCGGCCCGGUAAGUCCGCUGUAAAGUCAAAGGCUCAACCUUGAAUGUCAGUGGAUACUGCCGGCUAGAGUCCGGAAGAGGCGAGUGGAACUCCUGGUGUAGCGGUGGAAUGCGCAGAUAUCAGGAAGAACACCGACGGCGAAGGCAGCUCGCUGGACGGUACUGACGCUGAGGCGCGAAGCGUGGGAGCGAACAGG
rnacentral:rRNA from 1 species